ensembl:lincRNA
AUGGGAUGGGCUCAUGGGCCCGACGGCAUUUUAGAACCAGAAGGGUUGAAAUGGUGUCUUGGUGGUCAUGUCAUUGUUGAACCUUGCCCUGGAUGCUUUUCUCGGAGCUCAAGCCAGCUCUUCCGGCCAGGGGAAGAUGGCCGGUCUGCAGGUGGACAGCGUCCCCGUCGGUGCACACGGGCGUGCCCACCUGCGGCCCGAUGGCAUGUGGAGCCGGGCGGUCGUCAGAAGAGGGGGUUUCAGAUUUGGCGUGCCAUCCUGCAGGUCGGGACAGCGACUCAAGGGUCACCCCUGCAUUACCCCCCAUCUAGCUGUCGAGCACCCCCCUGCCAGGUGUCUGGUCCCCUCCCCCAGUCAUGCACAUGGUUCUAUCCGGGCGGAUGUGGGAGACCAGCAGGGUGGAGAGAGGCCGCUCAGACUGCCGACGGGAAUGCCAAGGCUGGUUUGACUCCAAAUCCAGCCUGAACCUCCCUGGGACCCUCCGGGGGCUUUGAUCUUCCCGAUGGAGUUAGUCUUCCCACCACCUCUAGCUGCCACGGCCCCUUCCCUCCAAACUCCUGAUUCUGCUCCCUUCCCCCACUGCUGAGCUUUGAAAUUCUCCCUCUUCUCCAAAGCCUGAAGGUUUAAAAGAAAACUUGAACUUUUUUAGGGGGCCUGUUUUAGGUUGACAGAAACACACUUUAAGUGGAAAAUCCAGAGAGGUCCCAUAUGGCCUCCCCUCAGGGCGCACGCGGUUUCCCUGUUAUUACCAGGGGCUGCAUUUUGAGAGAAGCACAUAGAGUGAUUGGCAGGGACCCUCGAGUUGGCGACGCUCGGAGGAACCUGGCGCCAGCACAUACAGGUGAGGGGCAGGCAGGCUGCGCGGCCACAUUGACAGGGUCUGGCCAGAGGCAGUGCCGCCAGAGACGAUACCACAGGGCGCAGGGUCUGGGGGGCUUGGAGGCACCGAGAGGGGUUUCCCAGGUGGAGCCAAAUGAGGGAAAGAGGGAACGGAUCCUGUGAGUUUGGCUACCCCAGAGCUGUGGGUGAUGAACGCUAGAGAAGCAGAGCGAUUCUGGAAGGUUUCCUGGGCUUGCCUGGACCUUGAGGUGGGGUGCUGUGGAAGGGAGGGCCCCCAUACCACCGCCCGGCCCCAGCAGGCCUGGCUGCCCCAUCUCUCUGGGUGCAUCAGACCCCCCAAACCCUGCUUCCCCUUCCCUCCUAGCCCAGGCCAGCGCGGGGCCACUCACCUGGAGAGAACAAUGCUCAUUGUGACCGGAGGCUCCAGCUGUCCUAGGCGAGGGGAAUGACGCCAGGGCCCCAGGGGUCCCGAAAGCCAGGGCGGAGCGGGCGGGGCUGGGCGCAGCUGUGCGAUCUGGGCUCCAGGGACACUGGCACCUGGUUGCCAGGCAACAUGGCCACCCACAGCCACCCUGGGAGGAGCCCCAGCUGGUUGCCUGGCAACCUUUCCCCCGGCCAGCCUUGCCAGCCUCGCACUGGCUGGGGAGAGGGGUCCCAGAGAGCCCCCAUAUCCUUCGUUUGAAGUUGGAGGUUCUGCAGCGCCAGGCAGCGUGGGGGUUCUCUAGCACAGAUCGGAUUUAGGGCAGCUUGCUUGGGGCUCAGCCAUGAGGGGCUGACGCCCAGCCUUCUCCCAAAUUCUGGGAGCGGCCGGCAGGGUCCUAGGAUAACUGGUUCCCCGGGAGGGGCUGUAGGGGAAAGCACAGAGUCCCUCUGGGGGGUCCUGGAGCCUUGUAGCUGAAUGGAGGGGACAGGGACCCCAGCCCAAAGGGACUUUUUUAACAUUUCAGUCAUCGUCUUGUUAUUCUCCCCCUUAUUUAUAAAAACAGUUAUUGCUCAUUGUUAGAAAAGUAAGAAAGUAGAGAGAACCCGGAAGGAAUUCCCAGACCUCAUGAUGAAGCUGUACUAAGGUGCACGUUUUCCUGAAUGAAGGCCGUGUACCUUUCACCGCAUGCACGUUUCACCUAGAGAAGGACGAAGGUGCCAACACUGAGAGGGACAGGGCACGCGGAGGGGCAGGUGUGGCCCAAACGCGCCGAGCAUUGGCAGCUGCUGCUGUCACGGGAUUCCCUGGCUGCGUCUGCUCCUGCUGGUGCGCCGGCAGGUUUUCAGAGUGGAGAGCUUUUUUUUUUUUUUUUUCUCCCUUAAGCAUAGAUAAAAGCAAGGACUUGGGAGUUUACUAAACACAGGUUUAAAUCCCAGAACCCAGCCUUGCUAUGGGACCUUGGGCAUGUCACCUUCCCUAUAAAAUGGGAUUGUGACAGUACUUUGUUGCCUGGUCCUCGUUAGCAGAAAGAAGUCUCAGGUGUGAUGGUAAAGGACAGGGCAAGGCCAGACUUCCACAGCGGUUCCGUGCACAUCGGCCCAGCAUGGUGACGGCUCCCCCACAGCGCGUCCUGGGUGCCCCACGCCCUGUGCUGCUGCCUGCCUGCUCCCUACACUUCGCUCUGCCCUGUGUGCCCUUAGGCUCCCCCCUGCAGGAUGCUGGGCAGGGCAGAGGCUCCUGGGCCCCCCACUCUGCACACCAGGUCCCGUCCCUCUCAGGUUCUUGGCCCCCUUCAUUCUUGGGGCUGUGCUGAAUUGAAUAGCAUCUCCCACAAAAUGUCCCCCUGACACACCUCCGGAAGUGACCUUAUUUGGAAAGAGGGUCUUUGCAGAUAGAACCAGCUGAAAUGGGUCAUGCUGGAGUGGGAUGAGCUCUAGUCCAACAGUUGGUGUCCUUAUAAGAAGAGGAAGCAGAAGCCCAGGGAGACGGCUGUCUGACACAGGGCCGAGACUGGAGGGGCGUGGCCGCUGCCAAGGAUGGCCGGCAACACCAGGAGCUCGAAGAGGCACGGAGGAUCCUCCCUUGGAGCCCUCAGAGGGAGCUCAGCCCUGCCCCCACCUUGAUUUUGGACCUCUGGCUUCCAGACUGUAGCAUAAACCUCUGUCGUAUUAAUACUUGUUUUGGUAUGGUGGCCCCAGGACCCUUGCCCGUCCCCUCCCUCCCCGCAGAGCUGCUGUGUUCCCACAUGGCCAACCUCUCUCCCCAUGGGGGCUGUGGCCUGCCUGUUUUCUCCAGGUCUUCUGACUUCACACGGGUUCCCUAUACCUUGAUGAUCCCUUUGGUUGAUGAAUUCCGUCCUGAGCAAGCCUGGCAGUGUCUUGUCCAUGUUGAGAGGCGUCCACGAUGAAGGUGGCGCUUUUGCCCUGGGUUCUGGAUCUGGUCCCUGGUCAAACAAGCAUGCCACUCUGUGUCCCUGUCCCUCUACACUUCUUUCUGCCAGCUUCAACACCAGCAAGCCUCUCCUCCUCCUGGAGAAAUGCCCCCCAGCUGACUCCCCCAACCCUCCUCUCUUCUACUGCUCACCUCCUCAGGGAACUUUCAAACAAGCGGCCUUUCCUCGCUCGGUUCCCUUCACUCCCUCUUGUCUUUCCUCAUUGUCACUAUAUCCAGGGCCAUGGCCCUGGCCCAUGGCAUCCAGGCCAACAGUCUGCUCGAUGGAUUUUGGCUUUUCCAGCCCCCACAAUCCCAAGAGCC